GGGCCCGUGGUGUAGUGGUUAUCACGCUCGUCUCACACACGAGCGGUCGCCGGUUCGAUCCCGGCCGGACUCA